GUGGGGAAUAUUGGACAAUGGGCGAAAGCCUGAUCCAGCCAUGCCGCGUGUGUGAAGAAGGUCUUCGGAUUGUAAAGCACUUUAAGUUGGGAGGAAGGGCAGUAAGUUAAUACCUUGCUGUUUUGACGUUACCGGCAGAAUAAGCACCGGCUAACUUCGUGCCAGCAGCCGCGGUAAUACGAAGGGUGCAAGCGUUAAUCGGAAUUACUGGGCGUAAAGCGCGCGUAGGUGGUUCGUUAAGUUGGAUGUGAAAGCCCCGGGCUCAACCUGGGAACUGCAUCCAAAACUGGCGAGCUAGAGUACGGUAGAGGGUGGUGGAAUUUCCUGUGUAGCGGUGAAAUGCGUAGAUAUAGGAAGGAACACCAGUGGCGAAGGCGACUACCUGGACUGAUACUGACACUGAGGUGCGAAAGCGUGGGGAGCAAACAGGAUUAGAUACCCGAGUAGUCC
rnacentral:rRNA from 1 species